rnacentral:rRNA from 1 species
CCCUUAGAUGUUCUGGGCCGCACGCGCGCUACACUGUUCGACGCAGCGAGUCUUAACCUUGACCGAAAGGUUUGGGUAAUCUUCAGCAAAGUCGAACGUGAUGGGGAUCGAUCAUUGCAAUUAUUGAUCGUGAACGAGGAAUUCCUAGUAAGUGCAAGUCAUCAGCUUGCGCUGAUUACGUCCCUGCCCUUUGUACACACCGCCCGUCGCUACUACCGAUUGAAUGGUUUAGUGAGAUCUCUGGAUUGACGCUGGCUAGGGGGCGACCCUUGGCCAGACUGUUGAGAAACUGCUCAAACUUGAUCAUUUAGAGGAAGUAAAAGACGUAACA